rnacentral:lncRNA from 1 species
UGUCUGUACUCAGUACUUAAUCGAUUAGCUCUCAUCCAACUACGGUUCAUACCUACGUUUCGAAAUUAAUGCAUUCUAAGUUAAAGCAAUGACUAGGUUGUUACUAUUGCGAAACAUUCUCUCGCCCUAUUUUAAUAGAAAUUCAUAGCCUAUAACAGAAUUUGCAUAUAGCAGAAUUUUUACAUAGUAAUUUGCAGUGCAUCUAAGUUUAUAGCUUCUAAGUUUUGAAAUAGAAACGGUACCUGUAGAUGAGACCGUGAUUGAACCUUCUAACUUCGAACAGAACACGAACAACCAACGAACUAUCAACCCAAACUUCUAAACUGCACAUAA